GAUGAACGCUGGCGGCGUGCUUAACACAUGCAAGUCGAACGAUCAAGCCCAGCUUGCUGGGUGGAUUAGUGGCGAACGGGUGAGUAACACGUGCGUAACCUGCCCUUAUCUCUGGGUUAAGCCUGGUCAACUGGGUCUAAUACCGGCUAGAAGAUCUAUUCGACCGGUUGGUGCUGUAAAGAUUUAUCGGUUUUGGAUGGAUUCUCGGCUUAUCCGCUUGUUGGUGAGGUAAUGGCUCACUAAGGCGGAGACGGGUAGACGGCCUGAGAGGGGCACCGGCCACACUAGGACUGAGACACGGCGCAGUCUCCUACGGGACGCAGCAGUGGGGAAUAUUGCACAAUGGGCGAAAGCCUGAUGCAGCGACGCCGCGUGAGGGAUGACGGCCUUCGGGGUGUAAACCACUUUCAGUGGGGAAGAAGCGAAAGUGACGGUACCUGCAGAGGAAGCACCGGCUAACUACGUG
rnacentral:rRNA from 1 species